UACGGAGGGUGCGAGCGUUGUCCGGAAUCACUGGGCGUAAAGCGCACGUAGGCGGCUUGUUAAGUCAGGGGUGAAAUCCUGGAGCUCAACUCCAGAACUGCCUUUGAUACUGGCGAGCUUGAGUCCGGGAGAGGUGAGUGGAACUGCGAGUGUAGAGGUGAAAUUCGUAGAUAUUCGCAAGAACACCCGUGGCUAAGGCGGCUCUCUAGUACGGUACUGACGCUGAGACGCGAAAGCGUGGGGAGCGAACAGG
rnacentral:rRNA from 1 species